GCAGCCGCGGUAAUUCCAGCUCCAAUAGCGUAUAUUAAGUUGUUGCAGUUAAAAAGCUCGUAGUUGAACCUUGGGUCUGGCUGGCCGGUCCGCCUCACCGCGAGUACUGGUCCGGCUGGACCUUUCCUUCUGGGGAACCUCAUGGCCUUCACUGGCUGUGGGGGGAACCAGGACUUUUACUGUGAAAAAAUUAGAGUGUUCAAAGCAGGCCUUUGCUCGAAUACAUUAGCAUGGAAUAAUAGAAUAGGACGUGUGGUUCUAUUUUGUUGGUUUCUAGGACCGCCGUAAUGAUUAAUAGGGAUAGUCGGGGGCGUCAGUAUUCAGCUGUCAGAGGUGAAAUUCUUGGAUUUGCUGAAGACUAACUACUGCGAAAGCAUUCGCCAAGGAUGUUUUCAUUAAUCAGGGAACGAAAGUUAGGGGAUCGAAGACGAUCAGAUACCGUCGUAGUCUUAACCAUAAACUAUGCCGACUAGGGAUCGGACGGGAUUCUAUAAUGACCCGUUCGGCACCUUACGAGAAAUCAAAGUUUUUGGGUUCUGGGGGGAGUAUGGUCGCAAGGCUGA
rnacentral:rRNA from 1 species